UACGGAGGGUGCGGUCGUUAAUCGGAAUCACUGGGCGUAAAGCGCACGUAGGCGGCCUAUCAAGUCGGAUGUGAAAGCCCUCGGCUCAACCGGGGAACUGCAUUCGAAACUGACAGGCUGGAGUCUCGGAGAGGGGGGCGGAAUUCCCGGUGUAGGAGUGAAAUCCGUAGAUAUCGGGAGGAACACCAGUGGCGAAGGCGGCCACCUGGACGAUGACUGACGCUGAGGUGCGAAAGCGUGGGUAGCAAACAGG
rnacentral:rRNA from 1 species